rnacentral:rRNA from 1 species
CAUAGGUUAAUGAGGCGAACCGGGGGAACUGAAACAUCUAAGUACCCCGAGGAAAAGAAAUCAACCGAGAUUCCCCCAGUAGCGGCGAGCGAACGGGGAGGAGCCCAGAGCCUGAAUCAGUGUGUGUGUUAGUGGAAGCGUCUGGAAAGGCGCGCGAUACAGGGUGACAGCCCCGUACACAAAAAUGCACAUAUUGUGAGCUCGAUGAGUAGGGCGGGACACGUGGUAUCCUGUCUGAAUAUGGGGGGACCAUCCUCCAAGGCUAAAUACUCCUGACUGACCGAUAGUGAACCAGUACCGUGAGGGAAAGGCGAAAAGAACCCCGGCGAGGGGAGUGAAAAAGAACCUGAAACCGUGUACGUACAAGCAGUGGGAGCCUCUUUAUGGGGUGACUGCGUACCUUUUGUAUAAUGGGUCAGCGACUUAUAUUCUGUAGCAAGGUUAACCGAAUAGGGGAGCCGAAGGGAAACCGAGUCUUAACUGGGCGUUAAGUUGCAGGGUAUAGACCCGAAACCCGGUGAUCUAGCCAUGGGCAGGUUGAAGGUUGGGUAACACUAACUGGAGGACCGAACCGACUAAUGUUGAAAAAUUAGCGGAUGACUUGUGGCUGGGGGUGAAAGGCCAAUCAAACCGGGAGAUAGCUGGUUCUCCCCGAAAGCUAUUUAGGUAGCGCCUCGUGAAUUCAUCUCCGGGGGUAGAGCACUGUUUCGGCAAGGGGGUCAUCCCGACUUACCAACCCGAUGCAAACUGCGAAUACCGGAGAAUGUUAUCACGGGAGACACACGGCGGGUGCUAACGUCCGUCGUGAAGAGGGAAACAACCCAGACCGCCAGCUAAGGUCCCAAAGUCAUGGUUAAGUGGGAAACGAUGUGGGAAGGCCCAGACAGCCAGGAUGUUGGCUUAGAAGCAGCCAUCAUUUAAAGAAAGCGUAAUAGCUCACUGGUCGAGUCGGCCUGCGCGGAAGAUGUAACGGGGCUAAACCAUGCACCGAAGCUGCGGCAGCGACACUAUGUGUUGUUGGGUAGGGGAGCGUUCUGUAAGCCUGUGAAGGUGGCCUGUGAGGGUUGCUGGAGGUAUCAGAAGUGCGAAUGCUGACAUAAGUAACGAUAAAGCGGGUGAAAAGCCCGCUCGCCGGAAGACCAAGGGUUCCUGUCCAACGUUAAUCGGGGCAGGGUGAGUCGACCCCUAAGGCGAGGCCGAAAGGCGUAGUCGAUGGGAAACAGGUUAAUAUUCCUGUACUUGGUGUUACUGCGAAGGGGGGACGGAGAAGGCUAUGUUGGCCGGGCGACGGUUGUCCCGGUUUAAGCGUGUAGGCUGGUUUUCCAGGCAAAUCCGGAAAACCAAGGCUGAGGCGUGAUGACGAGGCACUACGGUGCUGAAGCGACAAAUGCCCUGCUUCCAGGAAAAGCCUCUAAGCAUCAGGUAACAUCAAAUCGUACCCCAAACCGACACAGGUGGUCAGGUAGAGAAUACCAAGGCGCUUGAGAGAACUCGGGUGAAGGAACUAGGCAAAAUGGUGCCGUAACUUCGGGAGAAGGCACGCUGAUAUGUAGGUGAAGCGACUUGCUCGUGGAGCUGAAAUCAGUCGAAGAUACCAGCUGGCUGCAACUGUUUAUUAAAAACACAGCACUGUGCAAACACGAAAGUGGACGUAUACGGUGUGACGCCUGCCCGGUGCCGGAAGGUUAAUUGAUGGGGUUAGCGGUAACGCGAAGCUCUUGAUCGAAGCCCCGGUAAACGGCGGCCGUAACUAUAACGGUCCUAAGGUAGCGAAAUUCCUUGUCGGGUAAGUUCCGACCUGCACGAAUGGCGUAAUGAUGGCCAGGCUGUCUCCACCCGAGACUCAGUGAAAUUGAACUCGCUGUGAAGAUGCAGUGUACCCGCGGCAAGACGGAAAGACCCCGUGAACCUUUACUAUAGCUUGACACUGAACAUUGAGCCUUGAUGUGUAGGAUAGGUGGGAGGCUUUGAAGUGUGGACGCCAGUCUGCAUGGAGCCGACCUUGAAAUACCACCCUUUAAUGUUUGAUGUUCUAACGUUGGCCCGUAAUCCGGGUUGCGGACAGUGUCUGGUGGGUAGUUUGACUGGGGCGGUCUCCUCCUAAAGAGUAACGGAGGAGCACGAAGGUUGGCUAAUCCUGGUCGGACAUCAGGAGGUUAGUGCAAUGGCAUAAGCCAGCUUGACUGCGAGCGUGACGGCGCGAGCAGGUGCGAAAGCAGGUCAUAGUGAUCCGGUGGUUCUGAAUGGAAGGGCCAUCGCUCAACGGAUAAAAGGUACUCCGGGGAUAACAGGCUGAUACCGCCCAAGAGUUCAUAUCGACGGCGGUGUUUGGCACCUCGAUGUCGGCUCAUCACAUCCUGGGGCUGAAGUAGGUCCCAAGGGUAUGGCUGUUCGCCAUUUAAAGUGGUACGCGAGCUGGGUUUAGAACGUCGUGAGACAGUUCGGUCCCUAUCUGCCGUGGGCGCUGGAGAACUGAGGGGGGCUGCUCCUAGUACGAGAGGACCGGAGUGGACGCAUCACUGGUGUUCGGGUUGUCAUGCCAAUGGCACUGCCCGGUAGCUAAAUGCGGAAGAGAUAAGUGCUGAAAGCAUCUAAGCACGAAACUUGCCCCGAGAU